CUUGGGUAAGAGUACACGUGUUUCCUUACUGAGUGAGAAAUAAGCCUACAGAUACAGCAUGAAGGAUCCUGGGAGGCUUCAGCGACCACGAGGAGAACCUUAACAUCGACCAUGUGCAUUGUUCUUUUAUGUGAGGCAGCUCGGAGUGUGGCAGGGAGGACGGGACGAGGCGCACUGGCUGCUAAUAGCUGGGUGAGUGAGGGUCCACGACCGCAUUAGUCAGUACGUGUCUUUGUGGCGUGAGGAGGGUCGCGGCCUGUCAUCUGCCACUGGCGACCGAGAGCUUCUUGGUCUCACACAGGUGUCAUUAUGCAGCCUGGUCUUACGUCAUCAGUUCAGCCUUU